rnacentral:rRNA from 1 species
GUCGAACGGGAAAGUGGAGCAAUCCAUGAGUACAGUGGCGUACGGGUGAGUAACACGUGGGUGAUCUACCUUUUAGUGGGGAAUAACCCUGGGAAACCGGGGCUAAUACCGCAUAAGCCCGAGAGGGGAAAGUCGCAAGACGCUGAAAGAGGAGCCCGCGGCCGAUUAGCUAGUUGGCAGGGUAAGAGCCUACCAAGGCAGAGAUCGGUAGCCGGCCUGAGAGGGCACACGGCCACACUGGCACUGAAACACGGGCCAGACUCCUACGGGAGGCAGCAGUGGGGAAUCUUGCACAAUGGGGGCAACCCUGAUGCAGCGACGCCGCGUGAGCGAUGAAGCCCUUCGGGGUGUAAAGCUCUUUCGGCAGGGAAGAUGAUGACGGUACCUGCAGAAGCAGCUGCGGCUAACUACGUGCCAGCAGCCGCGGUAAUACGUAGGCAGCGAGCGUUGUUCGGAGUUACUGGGCGUAAAGGGUGUGUAGGCGGUUCUUUAAGUUUGGUGUGAAAUCUCCCGGCUCAACCGGGAGGGUGCGCCGAAAACUGAGGGACUAGAGUACGGGAGAGGAAAGUGGAAUUCCUGGUGUAGCGGUGAAAUGCGUAGAUAUCAGGAGGAACACCGGUGGUGUAGACGGCUUUCUGGACCGUAACUGACGCUGAGACACGAAAGCGUGGGUAGCAAACAGGAUUAGAUACCCUGGUAGUCCACGCCCUAAACGAUGCAUAUUUGGUGUGGGCAGUUCAUUCUGUCCGUGCCGGAGCUAACGCGUUAAAUAUGCCGCCUGGGGAGUACAGUCGCAAGGCUGAAACUCAAAGGAAU